UACGGAGGGUGCAAGCGUUAUCCGGAUUUACUGGGUUUAAAGGGUGCGUAGGUGGGCCUGUAAGUCAGUGGUGAAAUCUUCAAGCUUAACUUGGUAACUGCCAUUGAUACUAUAGGUCUUGAAUUAUCUGGAGGUAAGCGGAAUAUGUCAUGUAGCGGUGAAAUGCUUAGAGAUGACAUAGAACACCCAUUGCGAAGGCAGCUUACUACGGAUUGAUUGACACUGAGGCACGAAAGCGUGGGGAUCAAACAGG
rnacentral:rRNA from 1 species